ACGAACAAGGGCGCCAUGGCCGCUUUGACACCAUUUGAUCCUGGCUCAGGGUGAACGCUGGCGGUAUGGAUAAUGUAUGCACCCCGAGUGGGUUUAGACCCACGGCAGACGAGGCAGUAACAGGUAGGAACGUACCCUUCAGUCGGGCAUAUUCCGUCGAAAGACGGUGCAAUUCCCGAUGGUCUCGCAAGAGUAAAGAUUUAUCGCUGAAGGAGCGGCCUGCCUUGUAUCAACUUGUUGGUGAGGUAACGGCUCACCAAGGCUAUGACGCAUAUGGGACCUGAGAGGGUGACCCCCGCCGAUGAAACUGAGACACGGUUCAUACCCCUACGGGGGGCUGCAGCCGAGAAUAUUCGACUAUGGACGAAAGUCUGAUCGAGCGAUACCGCGUGGUGGAUGAAGUGCUUCCGCACGUAAACAUCUUUUAUGAGGGAAGAAGUUAUUGACAUUACCUCAUGAAUAACGGGCU
rnacentral:rRNA from 1 species